rnacentral:rRNA from 1 species
UAAACGCUGGCGGCGUGCAUGAGACAUGCAAGUCGCACGAAGGAUCGGGCUUGCUCGAUCCUUAGUGGCGGACGGCUGAGUAACGCGUAGGUGACCUACCCCGAAGUGGGGAAUAACUGCCCGAAAGGGUGGCUAAUACCGCAUGUGGUCGCACGUUCAUUCGUGCGAGUAAAGCCGCAAGGCGCUUCGGGAGGGGCCUGCGUCCGAUUAGCUCGUUGGUGGGGUAAUGGCUUACCAAGGCGACGAUCGGUAGGUGGUCUGAGAGGACGAUCACCCAGACUGGGACUGAGACACGGCCCAGACUCCUACGGGAGGCAGCAGUCGGGAAUUUUGCUCAAUGGGGGAAACCCUGAAGCAGCAACGCCGCGUGAGGGAUGAAGGCCUUCGGGUUGUAAACCUCUUUUGUCAGGGACGAUGAUGACGGUACCUGGCGAAUAAGCCACGGCUAACUACGUG